AAGUCGUAACAAGGUUUCCGUAGGUGAACCUGCGGAAGGAUCAUUACCGAGUUUUCUGUUUUUUGCAGAUUUCUCCCACCCUUGUGUAUUUUGAUGCUGAUAAGCAGCUUCGGCGGGCCGUUUUUGGGAUUUAUUUGUUUAUUCCUUGGAGUAGAUAGAGACGAGACCAAAAACAUCGGCCUUUAAAGCGGAUUUGUGUCCGCCGAAGGAAACUCAACUCUUGAUAAUUGCCAAGGGAAUUUUAUAAACCCUUUUUGUUAUCCAAUAAUUGGUUACUUAUUGUCUGAUUUUUAAUGCUGAAAUAGUAUUUAAAACUUUCAACAAUGGAUCUCUUGGUUCUG
rnacentral:misc_RNA from 1 species